ensembl:lncRNA
CUGCAAGACCUGCCUUUGCCAAAGCAUCUCAUGUUCCCUGAGAUGAGACCUAUGCUGCCCAGUGCACCCAUGUUCUGAGGAGCCCCAGUCCAGGAGCAUCAGCUAGGUUGGAGCUGCUGAUCACAGAAACUGAGGAGGACCAAUGUAUUUGGUAGUGCAGUGAGCCUACAGCCAUCCAAAGCAAGCUGGAGAAUGCAUGCUGGGGAAACAAAUCAGCAAGCAGGCAGUGGCAUGUGAAGAGAGUCCCUCUGCUGGCACAGAAGUGAUUGCAGAGCAAUAAUACAAAUCACAAUACCAGUAUGUGUAAAGCUCCACUUUAGGCAACGUAAGGUUUGCUGUUUCCACCUGGCCUUGCUGCAGUGAAUUUCCCAUGGUUGGGAUAUUCUCUGCCUGACUUUGAGACGCCUCCAUCCCACUGGCUUUGCUGUGUGUUUGACAAAAAGAAAGAGGUCUUCUCUAAACUUUGCCAGGCUCAGUUGCAGGAGGGCACAAAUGCUUGGGAUAACAGAAGGAAGGGCACAGUCGUGUCUGGUGA